ACUAAUACAUUUGUACCCUCAAACCCUUUUCUUUUGCCAUCUUUGUUAAAUGAUAACGAGUUACACUGGUGGUGUUUUUAAAACUUGUCAAUUUGUAAAGUUCUGUUCUGGUACCUAUUAACAGAACAUAUAUUAUGAUUCAACUGAUGUUUUAAAAUAAAAUUACAUGUUUAGUGUAGUUACCAUUGUGCGCCAUCUAUUAUGGUUUUUUAGUAAAAGAUACAUAACAGUAUUGGUUAGUUUCCCUUAUGGCAAUGAAUUAUAUUUUGUUCAGUUCACAUUGAAUACGCUUCACACCCUCACCUUAGUCACAACUCUGGAAAAUCUUCAUAGUUGCUUGGUUCACACUCAUCCUAGAUUCUACCUCAUCCAUCCUGUUUGUGGCUUUACUGAGGCCCUCAAAUUGAUAUAAGCUUGAGCAUUAGCAUAUUUGUAUAUAUCAACAUCAAAAUGAGCAUCGCAGACGUGAAAAGUGACAAACAUAAACAUAUGAUUUUUUUUUUAGCAUUUCAGUAAGCCAAUUACCUUCAGUUUUGGAAAGAAAAAUAAUACCUACCGCCGUCUCUGUCAUUUCCAUGCAUUUAGUAUUAAUCUUGCCUGAACUUGUACCUGAUGCUUCCAUAUAAGAUUUGGAUGGAUCAUGAAAUAUAGUGUAGUAUUGAAUUAAAGCACAAAGACCUUAUAUAUGUUGAAGUUAUGUUAGGAUACCAAAUAUGGAUGGAGUGUAUAAAUGCAGAACUUAUAUAACUAAUCUGCAAACUUGUAAUUAAGUAUUUGAUUGCAUUUAGAAAUUGCAGUUAAGUAUUUGGUACACUAGGGCUGCAGUUCAAAGGCCAAGUUGAUGCAGCAAACGCGUCUGCGCAAAAACUUUGGUGUGCGAAUGAUGCAAUGGCAAUGGCGAAAAACAAUUUGGGAGGUGUUAGGAGGACAUGCUGCAUCACAUAUUCAUCUAACAAAGUAAAAAAAAUCCUUGAAUGGCAUGUAAGCCUGAUAAUUUCAGAGAUAACAAUCUAUUUCGAUAUUUAGUACUACUGCGAUCUCUUGGCCACUGCUUGUAGAAUUGUUUUGCAGUUAGUUGUUUUUCUGAAUUUAGUGUCGUGUAUAGAUAUAGAUUAAAAAAAUAAGGUAAAUUUUUGUUUACUUACUGUAUAAAUUGGGUGAAUGAUACCUUUCAAAUGUUCAUCUGUUGGAUUCUCUCGAUUAUAUGCAGCUGCAGGGUUAUUUACCACUAAAGAAUUAUUCUCACUUCAUGACAUUGUCUAAUUGUUUGCAUGGCCUACAUUGUUUGUCUUUUCCUGUUCAUUGACUGAAUUUAUUUUUUACUGCAUAAGUUUUAGGGAGAAAAAGGAGAAAGAACUCAGGAAGCUUUACCUAAGUAAUUGUUUUAGAGAAAGAACUCAGGAAGCACCUGCCCGAUAGGAAAGAAGGUAAGAUUACCUCAGGACCUAAUGUUUUGAAUUUGAAGCCAGCAGCCCUGUUCUGCCAGUUUUCAUUCCAAAUACCAGCAAGGAUAACACAUUUCUUGGUAUUUUCUAUAGCAGUCGGGAUGCAAGGAGACGGCUUUGGGGCUGAGAAGGUCAGUUGCUUAACCAUCAAAAUCAGCCCAUGCCCACACCAUGGCUAACCAUACAUGAAUGA